AUGGGAUCAUGGAAGUGUAGGGAUGCAGUCCCUUGUGUGUGUAAGGCUGACUGGUGCUCAUGGGUUGAGCUAGCUGACUGGUGCUCAUGUGGCAGUAGUAUUUUAAGAAGUAAGAUGAGAAGCAAACCAUUUGCUGCCACCUGCUUGUGUCAUGUGGUGUUGGUAGCAAGCCCGAACUGCACAUUAGAUGUACUCAACUACUCCUUCCGUUCGGAAUUACUCGUCCAAGAAAUAAAUGUAUCUAAAUGCAUUUUAGUUGUAGAUACAUCCAUUUUUAUCAUUUUUGUGACAAGUAAUUCCGAACGGAGGGAGUAUAUUCUAAUGUUGGAUCUGUUGCUGUCGGGGCAGCAAUCAAUGGACGUGAAGAGUGUAGGCAAAUCACAAAUGCAUGAUGCUGUUUAG
rnacentral:rRNA from 1 species